ACGAACGCUGGCGGCGUGCUUCACCCCUGCCAGUCGCACGGAAAGGCCCUGCUUUUGUGGGGUGCUCGGGUGGCGAACGGGUGAGUAACACGUGAGUAACCUGCCCUUGACUUUGGGAUAACUUCAGGAAACUGGGGCUAAUACCGGAUAGGAGCUCCUGCUGCAUGGUGGGGGUUGGAAAGUUUCGGCGGUUGGGGAUGGACUCGCGGCUUAUCAGCUUGUUGGUGGGGUAGUGGCUUACCAAGGCUUUGACGGGUAGCCGGCCUGAGAGGGUGACCGGCCACAUUGGGACUGAGAUACGGCCCAGACUCCUACGGGAGGCAGCAGUGGGGAAUAUUGCACAAUGGGCGGAAGCCUGAUGCAGCAACGCCGCGUGCGGGAUGACGGCCUUCGGGUUGUAAACCGCUUUCGCCUGUGACGAAGCGUGAGUGACGGUAAUGGGUAAAGAAGCACCGGCUAACUACGUG
rnacentral:rRNA from 1 species